GCUGGGCAUGGUGGUGUGUGCCUGUGAUCCCAGCUACUUGGGAGGCUGAGGCAAGAGAAUUGCUUGAACCCAGGAGGCAGAGACUGCAGUGAGCCGAGAUUGCACCACUGCACUCCAGCCUGGGUGACAAAGUGAGAUCUUGUCUCCA
rnacentral:SRP_RNA from 1 species